CAGUCGCCGCGGUAACACGAAGGGUGCAAGCGUUAAUCGGAAUUACUGGGCGUAAAGCGUGCGUAGGCGGGCAGGUAAGUCAGUGGUGAAAUCUUCGAGCUUAACUCGGAAACUGCCGUUGAUACUAUCUGUCUUGAAUAACGUUGAGGUGAGCGGAAUAUGUCAUGUAGCGGUGAAAUGCUUAGAUAUGACAUAGAACACCGAUUGCGAAGGCAGCUCACUAAACGCUCAUUGACGCUGAGGCACGAAAGCGUGGGGAUCAAACAGGAUUAGAUACCCCGGUAGUCCCUGUCUCUUAUAA
rnacentral:rRNA from 1 species